UAGAGCUCAUCAUUCAAUUCGAACUUAGAGCUCAUCGUUAAAUUCAUUAAAUUUGAGCUUAGAACUCAUAAUUCAAUUCGUUAAAUUUGAGCUUAGAGAUGUUCGUUCAAUUCAUGCAAUCUGAACUCACAAUUCAUCAUUUAGUUUUGAGCCUCUCCUCAAGAUUAUUACCUUUAACAUGCAUACUUUGUUUUAAAUGUAGUGCCACAUCAUUGGGGGAAAUUCUUACCCUACAAUUGCGCCUUUCUUCAUUUGUGCUAUGAGAAAAUGGAUAAAGGCAACUUUCAAUGUAUUGUGCUAAUUCUCUUCAGAAAUUUUACUUCCAACUACACACUACUAAGCAUUUAUUAUUAGUCACAUGUUUCAAACUCCGAGUCAAUCAAGCGGAAAAACAUUCUCUCUCUCUCUCUCUCUCUCUCUCUAUUAUAACCGCCUCAACCCUUCAUCUUUCGUUCUUACAUUCAAUUCCCUACAAGCAAUAGACAAUCUGCCUUCAUUCCUCUUAGGUUUUCUACCAUUUCCAUCUCUUUGAAUACUCGAGAGAGUUUAUGAUUUCAUAUUAAUUUUCUACUAGAACCUCUUUUCCUUCAACCAAUCGAAUCUUCAUGGCAUCCAAACGUUCUUCCAAAGCUACUUUGAGCAAAAAUACCAAAGCUCCCAAGACUUUCAAAGAAAACUACACUGACACAUUUGAUGAAGUCAACAUUAAUGCCUUAUACCUUCUGAUGUUACUAUCAGGAAGUUGAGCCCAGUGGAACCCACUAAAUGGCGUUUUGAAGUUAUAUGUGCUGCAGACAAAAUUGUCCUCGUGUCUAAACAUCUGGAGAUGUUCUGGUCAUUUGCGGAGCCGAUAUGAUUAGUCCACUGUGCAAAACUUCCAUCUCCGUUCAAGAUAUCAUUUGAUGCUUUUUGAGAACCCUCCAUACUCACGCAACUGGGGGUCAAACGUUUUCCACAUUUUACUUGACUUUGAAGAAAAGACGCUAUAUGUCCAAGAAUUGUGCUAUGGUCAACAAAGGAUGGGACAAACUCCCAUUUAUCAUUGGUGGCAACUGGUAUCCCACUUUUCUACCUAAGGAUGUAUUCGUUCUACCAAGAGUAUUUCAAGAAGGCCAUUCAAGCCUUUUGCUUCCGACAACACUCAUGAUCGCUAUCGGUGGUGGGAGUCACUCCCAAGUAAUUCUAUCAUUGAUUCUUUAGAUCAUUCCUCCCCUGUUCAUAAUAAUUACAUAAUUCUGAAUGUAGUUAAACAUUCUCAAGUGAGGCCGUUGGCCAUGGUAUUCAUCUUGUCGCUUGAGCAAAAUAUUUUUUACAGGGAACAUUGGCUCGCUGCUUCUUAAAUGUUUCACCACAUGCUAAGCAGUUGUUUUCCAUACUGCUUAUUUAGUCUAUGUUAUCAAUUAGGCUCAGAGGCUUUAUGUAAUGCUCUAGCAGAGUACUUGCGCCGGACGGCUCCCCGCAUCGCUCGACAAACAUUUCAGCGUAGAUGCCACUAGUCGUUAUCGGUGCUAAAGUCCACUACUGUAAUAUCGUCUCCUCCCAAUCAUGGUGCAUUGUAUACCUUCCAUAAACCAGUUGUAAAGAUAAUUAUUUUCACGACGUUUCGUGUUAUCCCUGUUUUCUCAAAUGCACUCUCUCCUGAUUAUUGUUUGUAUUUUGUUAUUCUUCUCUAUCUUUUUUUUUUCUUCUAAAAUUUAAAUCCAAUGUGCCCUUUGCAGAAGUAAUUCACCAGGUCUUUUCUCAAGUAAUGCAUGUAUAAUUGUGAUGGGGUUCGUACAUUUUGUUGUCUGGAUAUCAUAAAAAUGGGAAGGCGUCCUCGCUUUUGAACCUACUAUCCCUAUGCAACUCAAACGAACUUGUAGUUGAAUUUUUUUUUUCAUUAACAUUUCUUGGGAAGUUGAUAAUUUGUUGGAUUUUGAACGAUUGCUAAGCAUGUGUUUGUAUGAGCGUC